GAGAGAGAUCAGUGGAAGAGAAAAUGAAUGGUUGUUCAUUGGAAAGAUAAAAUAAAACACAAACAAAGGACAUAUGAGAUUCUAAAUGGCAGCAAUGUCAGCAGCAAGCAGCAUACUAAUUGUGCUAAAGGAGAGCUCAGAUCAUCUGCUUCCCCUGCUCUGAAAUCUCACUGUCAAGAGGAAAAAAAGUCUAAAUUCUUUGGCAUGUUAUUAAAAACCCUACCUAAAUCUGGACCUGGUCCCUUUCUAGUCU
rnacentral:lncRNA from 1 species